AUUGAACGCUGGCGGCAGGCCUAACACAUGCAAGUCGAACGGUAACAGGAAGAAGCUUGCUUCUUUGCUGACGAGUGGCGGACGGGUGAGUAAUGUCUGGGAAACUGCCUGAUGGAGGGGGAUAACUACUGGAAACGGUAGCUAAUACCGCAUAACGUCGCAAGACCAAAGAGGGGGACCUUCGGGCCUCUUGCCAUCGCAUGUGCCCAGAUGGGAUUAGCUAGUAGGUGGGGUAACGGCUCACCUAGGCGACGAUCCCUAGCUGGUCUGAGAGGAUGAUCAGCCACACUGGAACUGAGACACGGUCCAGACUCCUACGGGAGGCAGCAGUGGGGAAUAUUGCACAAUGGGCGCAAGCCUGAUGCAGCCAUGCCGCGUGUAUGAAGAAGGCCUUCGGGUUGUAAAGUACUUUCAGCGGGGAGGAAGGGAGUAAAGUUAAUACCUUGACUCAUUGACGUUACCCGCAGAAGAAGCACCGGCUAACUCCGUG
rnacentral:rRNA from 1 species